AUUGAACGCUGGCGGAAUGCUUUACACAUGCAAGUCGAACGGUAGAGGGGGCAACCCCCUUGAGAGUGGCGAACGGGUGAGUAAUAUAUCGGAACGUGCCCGGUCGUGGGGAUAACGUAGCGAAAGUUACGCUAAUACCGCAUACGAUCUAAGGAUGAAAGCGGGGGAUCGCAAGACCUCGCGCGAUUGGAGCGGCCGAUAUCAGAUUAGGUAGUUGGUGAGGUAAAGGCUCACCAAGCCAACGAUCUGUAGCUGGUCUGAGAGGACGACCAGCCACACUGGAACUGAGACACGGUCCAGACUCCUACGGGAGGCAGCAGUGGGAAUUUUGGACAAUGGACGCAAGUCUGAUCCAGCCAUUCGCGU
rnacentral:rRNA from 1 species